GACGUAGGGUGCAAGCGUUGUUCGGAUUGACUGGGCGUAAAGGGCGUGUAGGCGGUUGGUCAAGUCUGAUGUGAAAGCCCGGGGCUCAGCCCCGGAAGGGCAUCGGAAACUAGCCAGCUGGAGCGCGAUAGAGGAGGGUGGAAUUCCUGGUGUAGCGGUGAAAUGCGUAGAUAUCAGGAGGAACACCGGCGGCGAAGGCGGCCCUCUGGAUCGUUGCUGACGCUGAGGAGCGAAAGCGUGGGGAGCGAACAGG
rnacentral:rRNA from 1 species